AACGAACGCUGGCGGCAUGCCUAACACAUGCAAGUCGAACGAGACCUUCGGGUCUAGUGGCGCACGGGUGCGUAACGCGUGGGAACCUGCCCUUAGGUUCGGAAUAACUCCCCGAAAGGGGUGCUAAUACCGGAUAAUGUCUUCGGACCAAAGAUUUAUCGCCUUUGGAUGGGCCCGCGUUGGAUUAGCUAGUUGGUAGGGUAAAAGCCUACCAAGGCGACGAUCCAUAGCUGGUCUGAGAGGAUGAUCAGCCACACUGGGACUGAGACACGGCCCAGACUCCUACGGGAGGCAGCAGAGUGGAAUAUUGGACAAUGGGCGAAAGCCUGAUCCAGCAAUGCGGCGUGAGUGAUGAAGGCCUUAGGGUUGUAAAGCUCUUUUACCCGGGAUGAUAAUGACAGUACCGGGAGAAUAAGCUCCGGCUAACUCCGUG
rnacentral:rRNA from 1 species